rnacentral:ncRNA from 15 species
AAACUGUUCACAGUUUCUACGAAAGCCGUAGUUAACUCUGCGCCAUAAAGCAGCCCGAUAAGGGUGUGGUGAGUGCGGCCUUAAAUGCUAGUCCGCUGGAGUGGGCUCCCUUCGGGGGGUUUUCCUCUGGCGGGCGACACCCUCAAACUGUUCGGGGAAGCCCUAAAGCUCUGUCUUACCAAGCUACGCGUUGAUAAGACCGUAGUGGCCCGGUUAAUGACCAGGGGUAUGGUAACAACGGAAAGAGAUGUCACAAUGGGUGAUCCGCAGCCAAACACCCGACUUCGGAAGAAGAGGGUGCAGGUUCAGAGACUAAAUGGGGGUGGGUUUGGAAAACGGACCUUCUAUUUCCCAAGCCUAAGAUAUAGUCCAAUCCCCUAGGGAAACUUAGGGGCUACUACCUCUUCAAGUAGGAUCCUUCAAAUG